UGGCCUACGGGAGGCAGCAGUGGGGAAUAUUGGGCAAUGGGCGCAAGCCUGACCCAGCAACGCCGCGUGAAGGAAGAAGGCUUUCGGGUUGUAAACUUCUUUUCUCAGGGACGAAGCAAGUGACGGUACCUGAGGAAUAAGCCACGGCUAACUACGUGCCAGCAGCCGCGGUAAUACGUAGGUGGCAAGCGUUAUCCGGAUUUACUGGGUGUAAAGGGCGUGUAGGCGGGGACGCAAGUCAGAUGUGAAAACCACGGGCUCAACCUGUGGCCUGCAUUUGAAACUGGGUUUCUU
rnacentral:rRNA from 1 species